rnacentral:misc_RNA from 1 species
UUACGCAUUAGCAAAAACAAUUGGAAUUUAGACCAGGAAAAAAGGGAAAAGUAAAAGCUCUCAUUAGUAAGGAAAUAUUGCAACAAUCUAUACAUACAGGCUUGUCAUUGGCAACUUCAAUGAAAACAGAAGCUCCUUGCCAAAGACCACAGGAAAAGAAAACUAUGAAAUUCCAGUGGAAAUCAAUGACUAAAAGCAAUAAAAAAAACAAGUGGUGCCUUGAAAUGCUAGUCAAUACAAGAAAGAAACCUGUUAACCAACCCACUAAUGAAUAACAUAGAAAUGGAUUUUAGAAUAUAAUUAGGACCAAAGCCAAGUAGACUUGGCUUACAAAUAGCCACAAUACGAGCAGGUCAAAUUG